CCCAAACAUUUCUGCUUGCCCGACGGCGCCGUCUUCCCUCUCCACCCCCCCGUGCGCUGUGGGGCCGAUUUGUGGGGUGUGCAAGGGGCGGAGAGCGGGGGAAGCCGUGUCCCGCCGGCGGGAAUCCUCGCAGUGGCUCCUGCUAGCGGGGCAGUGAGGUGGCUCCGUCAUCAUUUCAGUUCCGGGGUGUGCACAGAGGGAAUAUGGACUGUAAUGAGUAAAACAUGCACAUGGACGGCCUUCAAGGCGAUCCCGACUUAUGGCGACCCUAUGAACAGGGUUUUCACGCUGAGCGAACUCUGCGGGUAGCGAGUGGGGAACCUGGACUCUCAAAAUGGAUAAAAUGGAUAUAGAUGUAUCUGCUGCGUUCAACAAUAAAUGAUGCAGAAGAGACUUGUUGGUCUUGCCACAGCAGAACAUGAAACAGCUGGAAAACUGGACCCAAAAGAACUCAGGUUAAAGUUCGCCGAAGAGUUCUUAGUUCUUUCUCUUUGGAUGUGGUGGUAAGGAUAGUAACGGCAGGACAGCAUCAUGGAUGACUUUGGAGGGCCCCGCUUGGCGGCGUUUUGCUUUACGGGGCUUCAUUAAUGCAGCGGUCUCAAUUAAGCUGAUGUGGAAAUGCAGAUAACUGAACAUAAGAGCAAAAAAAAUUAAGAAAGUGAAAUGGACAGAUCUCCCUCCCUGGAGCGCCUCUGCAGCCCACGGAGCUAAUAGAGCCUUGGCAUAGUCCCGUGCCUGUGAUCCGAUCUAGAUUGCUUUCUAGACCUGGAUAGGCUCUAGAAGCAUUGAGGUGGGGAAUGAAUUAAGGGGGAUCUGCUUAUCCCUUGAGCCAGAGAGCCAAGGCCGAGAAUGGAGAGAUUAAUAGAAGGUGGCCCCAGGGGGGUUUGGCAGGCAUAACGGGGCUUCGCGCAACGGAUCACAUCAGCACCUGGCUUGGUUCCUGUCCUCCUUUGUGCCUGUGUUGCCCCUCACAUGCUGGUCACUUUCUCAUCUUCCACCACCUUUGUGGAGGAGUCUGAGGGCCCCUCUUCUGGAUCCAUCGCCAGGUUGUCGUAAAUGUUUGCGCUGGAGGGAGAGAAGGAAGAAAGAAGCUUGAGAAUGUCCUGCAGGAUCAGGCCAAAGGCCAAUGUUAGCUUUGUACACAGCACGCAUGCAAAGCAUGUUAUUUCUCCCCCAAAAUCCUGCCAUUUACUGCCCACAAAGCUGUAAUUGCCAGUGCCUUUAACAAAUGGCAGCUCCUGGAAUAAUGAACUGUGAAUGCAAUGGUGCGCACACAGCCCUCGUCCAACUCCUAUCCCCACAGUGGCCAGACAGACGUAUCUGGGAGCCCCUCCCGCCUGCGAUUCCCGGUGCUGGAGGGAGCUUCCCGCCAUCAUGACCAGGAGCCAUGGAGCAUAGGAAGGGCUCUGCAGCUGGCCAGGCCAAAGGGGCCCAAAUAGUCGGGCAUCCUGUUCCCACAGUGGCCGACCAGAUGCCCCAAUGGGGAAAGGCCCCCAAGCAGGACCUGAGCGCAAGAGCGACUCUCCCUGCAGCUGGGAUUCAGAGGGAAGACAUGGACAUGGGGGCCAGGCCUGUAGGUGGGGGGGGGCUCCCCUAGUUGUUUUCUGCCCCCUAAUUUUUUUUAGAAAAAAAUAAUAAUUAAAUUUGUUACAGAAAAAAAUCUCUCCCCCUCCUACUAUUUUUGGUCCCCCCCGAACUUGUAGGCUGGCUGUGGGCCUGCUUGUGCCUAGUAGCCACUGACAGCCUUCUCUUCCUCCAUGACUUUGUCUAAUCCCUUUUAAAGCCAUCCAAGCUGGAGUUCCAUAGUUUAACCAUGCCCUGCCUCUUCUCUUCCUAAGGGAGCUUUAAGCCAACCAAGCUGAUUAUGAGCAGUGGGGGGAGACGGAGAGGUACCCAUCCUGUCUACCAUCCCUGUCAGUGACCAACCAAAUAAAAACAGCUUUAAAACACACACACACACAGAGACACAACCAGACAGACCAUAAUACUUACCGAGGGUGAAUGUCUCUCUGCUUUGCCAGUCUGCAGUCAGUAACCCUAUAAAGAUAGGAUCACACCACAGAGUAAACUAGGGUGGUGGGUGGGGGAAAAUCAAGGUGCAAGAUCAUGCACCCCUCUAAGCACUGGACAAGCCCUCCCCUCCCCUCCCCAAAUUCCACCCAAUUUGCAUUCUUCCAGUGUUUCCUUGAGAACCAAACACUUUUAAAAAGGUGUCUCUCCAUUUAAACUUGGGUCUUUCUCUUCCACAUUGUGCAUGGUGCCUCCCAUCCAACAGAAUGGCCAGGCUCACACUGGCUUAGCGCCAGCAGUGUCCCCUGCUCCAGACUACUACUGUACCUCAGAAGGGACUAGAAGCCUGAUUUUUUUCUUUGCUUGUUUGAAAAACUGGAUUCUGCAAUUUGAAACAAAAAGCCAUCUGAACCCUCCUGAGUUCAGACUUCACAAGU